GAGUCCGUAACCAAGGUCCCCCAGCGCUCACACAGCCCGGAGCAGAAGCCGCUGUCCCUGGGGGUGCCACCUCCAAGAGGAUCAUGAUUUUGAGGACACAGUGACCCCACAACACCCCUGGGCAAACAGGCAGGGAGAAGUGAAGCUACUUGCCCAAGAUCACCCAGCUCAAAAGGGCCAGAGGACGGAGAAGCUGAGAGGAAACCCCGGUGAAGAAGAGGCAGUUGUGUGGGAGAAGCCUUUGCCGUCUCUGGAGGGCCUUGCAGCCCAAGGGAGGGGCUCUCCGCAGCUCGGAGCCCAGGCCUGGCUGAGGAGGGGGCCAGAAGAUGCUCACAAGCACGCCCUGUGCCUGCGGCCCGCUGCCUGGUGCAGCCCCUCUGCGUGCAAGUAACA
rnacentral:lncRNA from 1 species